rnacentral:rRNA from 1 species
UAGGGAAUCUUCGGCAAUGGGGGCAACCCUGACCGAGCAACGCCGCGUGAGUGAAGAAGGUUUUCGAAUCGUAAAGCUCUGUUGUAAGAGAAGAACGAGUGUGAGAGUGGAAAGUUCACACUGUGACGGUAUCUUACCAGAAAGGGACGGCUAACUACGUGCCAGCAGCCGCGGUAAUACGUAGGUCCCGAGCGUUAUCCGGAUUUAUUGGGCGUAAAGCGAGCGCAGGCGGUUAGAUAAGUCUGAAGUUAAAGGCUGUGGCUUAACCAUAGUACGCUUUGGAAACUGUUUAACUUGAGUGCAGAAGGGGAGAGUGGAAUUCCAUGUGUAGCGGUGAAAUGCGUAGAUAUAUGGAGGAACACCGGUGGCGAAAGCGGCUCUCUGGCUUGUAACUGACGCUGAGGCUCGAAAGCGUGGGGAGCAAACAGGAUUAGAUACCCUGGUAGUCCACGCCGUAAACGAUGAGUGCUAGGUGUUAGACCCUUUCCGGGGUUUAGUGCCGUAGCUAACGCAUUAAGCACUCCGCCUGGGGAGUACGACCGCAAGGUUG